GCCGGGGUAGCUCAGCAGGCCAGAGCAACCGACCCGUAAUCGGCAGGUCGCCGGUUCGAUUCCGGCCCCCGGCC
rnacentral:tRNA from 1 species